AUUGAACGCUGGCGGCAGGCCUAACACAUGCAAGUCGAACGGUAACAGGAAGAAGCUUGCUUCUUUGCUGACGAGUGGCGGACGGGUGAGUAAUGUCUGGGAAACUGCCUGAUGGAGGGGGAUAACUACUGGAAACGGUAGCUAAUACCGCAUAACGUCGCAAGACCAAAAGGGGGACCCUCGGGCCCUCUGCCAUUCGAUUUUCCCAGAUGGGAUUAGCUAGUAGGUGGGGUAACGGCUCACCUAGGCGACGAUCCCUAGCUGGUCUGAGAGGAUGACCAGCCACACUGGAACUGAGACACGGUCCAGACUCCUACGGGAGGCAGCAGUGGGGAAUAUUGCACAAUGGGCGCAAGCCUGAUGCAGCCAUGCCGCGUGUAUGAAGAAGGCCUUCGGGUUGUAAAGUACUUUCAGCGGGGAGGAAGGGAGUAAAGUUAAUACCUUUGCUCAUUGACGUUACCCGCAGAAGAAGCACCGGCUAACUCCGUG
rnacentral:rRNA from 1 species